CUGAAAGUUUCAAACAUUGACACAUGUUUUAUUUACCAAAUAACUUGUGUUUCUGUGAAAAAAAAUCAUGUGCAUUUUUGGAAAUAAAGGGACAGAAGAUCCUUUUCCUGCUCCGGUGCAUGUCAAUUGUGAAUAUAUACUUACAGUUACCAAAUAUAUUUUCUUUAUCAUGAUACUCACAUCAACAUUAUCAUGAUUAUCAAGAAGUACAAAUCAUAGGAAAAACUACAGAUAAAAUAUUUAAAACACCCUAUUUUGAGUGCAUCUCCUGCCAAAUCAGUAUUUGUUGAAUCUAUAUAUACUAGAUGAGUAUAAUUAAUGUAAAUAAGGUAAUUUUUGGAAGAAAAACUCAAAAUUUUGAAGAAAAAAAACCACCCCCAAUAAUGAUGUACUAUAACCCCAAAAUCAAUUAUAAUCUUCCUUUUGUGUAUUGAAUCUUCUAGUAAAAUUUCAUAGAGAUCCAUUCACUUAUACUCAAGUUAUUGUCUUGAAACCAAUGUGUCUACUUGAAAACAACUAUGACAUCAUUCAGCAAAUUUUUUACAUGCUUAUAUUUCCGAUUUCCAUUCUCAAUUUUAUUUUGCUGUCAUAUAAAAACUUGAAAAGUAAGCUACAUCAUGUGCAUGUUAUACAAAAAAUAUUUGCAAAAAAAGAC
rnacentral:lncRNA from 1 species